rnacentral:tRNA from 1 species
UGUAGCUCAAUGAUAGAGUAUGUGCUUAGCAUGCAUAAGGUAUUGGGUUCAAUCCCCACCA